rnacentral:rRNA from 1 species
AUUGAACGCUGGCGGCAGGCUUAACACAUGCAAGUCGAGCGGAGAUGAGGUGCUUGCACCUUAUCUUAGCGGCGGACGGUGAGUAAUGCUUAGGAGUCUGCCUAUUAGUGGGGGACAACAUUCCGAAAGGAAUGCUAAUACCGCAUACGCCCUACGGGGGAAAGCAGGGGAUCUGCGGACCUUGCGCUAAUAGAUGAGCCUAAGUCGGAUUAGCUAGUUGGGGGGGUAAAGGCCUACCAAGGCGAAGAUCUGUAGCGGGUCUGAGAGGAUGAUCCGCCACACUGGGACUGAGUGACGGCCCAGACUCCUGCGGGAGGCAGCAGUGGGGAAUAUUGGACAAUGGGCGGAAGCCUGAUCCAGCCAGGCCGCGUGUGUGAAGAAGGACGUUUGGUUGUAGAGCACUUUAAGCGAGGAGGAGGCUACCUGGAAUAAUACUCUAGGAUAGUGGACGUUACUCGCAGAAUAAGCACCGGCUAACUCUGUGCCAGCAGCCGCGGUAAAAC